rnacentral:rRNA from 1 species
UACGGAGGGUGCAAGCGUUAUCCGGAUUCACUGGGUUUAAAGGGUGCGUAGGAGGGCAGGUAAGUCAGUGGUGAAAUCUCCAAGCUUAACUUGGAAACUGCCGUUGAUACUAUCUGUCUUGAAUAUUGUGGAGGUGAGCGGAAUAUGUCAUGUAGCGGUGAAAUGCUUAGAUAUGACAUAGAACACCAAUUGCGAAGGCAGCUCACUACACAAUCAUUGACUCUGAGGCACGAAAGCGUGGGGAGCGAACAGG